CCUACGGGUGGCAGCAGUGGGGAAUAUUGGACAAUGGGGGCAACCCUGAUCCAGCCAUGCCGCGUGUGUGAAGAAGGCCCUCGGGUUGUAAAGCACUUUCAGUGAGGAAGAACGCCUGGUGGUUAAUACCCAUCAGGAAAGACAUCACUCACAGAAGAAGCACCGGCUAACUCCGUGCCAGCAGCCGCGGUAAUACGGAGGGUGCGAGCGUUAAUCGGAAUUACUGGGCGUAAAGCGCGCGUAGGUGGCUUGAUAAGCCGGUUGUGAAAGCCCCGGGCUCAACCUGGGAACGGCAUCCGGAACUGUCAAGCUAGAGUGCAGGAGAGGAAGGUAGAAUUCCCGGUGUAGCGGUGAAAUGCGUAGAGAUCGGGAGGAAUACCAGUGGCGAAGGCGGCCUUCUGGACUGAAACUGACACUGAGGUGCGAAAGCGUGGGUAGCAAACAGGAUUAGAUACCCCUGUAGUC
rnacentral:rRNA from 1 species